rnacentral:rRNA from 1 species
UACAGAGGGUGCAAGCGUUGUUCGGAAUUACUGGGCGUAAAGCGUGCGUAGUCGGCCAGCACAAGUCAGUUGUGAAAUCUCCGAGCUUAACUCGGAAAGGUCAGCCGAUACUGCGGGGCUAGAGUGCAGAAGGGGCAACUGGAAUUCUCGGUGUAGCGGUGAAAUGCGUAGAUAUCGAGAGGAACACCUGCGGCGAAGGCGGGUUGCUGGGCUGACACUGACGCUGAUGCGCGAAAGCUAGGGGAGCGAACGGG